rnacentral:rRNA from 1 species
AUUGAACGCUGGCGGCAGGCCUAACACAUGCAAGUAGGACGAGUUGCGAACGGGUGAGCAACGCGUGGUAACCUGACUAUUAGAGGGGGAUAACUAUUGGAAACGAUAGCUAAUACCGUAUAGCACCUGAUGGACCUGCGUUGUAUUAGCUAGUAGGUAGGGGAACGGCCUACCUAGGCGACGAUACAUAGACGACCGCAGAGGGUGACCAGCCACACUGGAACUGGGACACGGACCAGACGCCUACGGGAGGCAGCAGUGGGGAAUAUUGCACAAUGGGCGCAAGCCUGAUGCAGCCAGGCCGCGUGUAUGAAGAAGGCCUUCGGGUUGUAAAGUACUUUCAGCGGGGAGGCGUUACCCGCAGAAGAAGCACCGGCUAACUCCGUGCCAGCAGCCGCGGUAAUUC